rnacentral:rRNA from 1 species
AUGGCCGGCGGCGAAGAGGCGGACACCGCGGGAGCGCCCGCGGAGGCAGAGAUGGACCCCGGCGUCUCGCGCGGGGGCGGGUUGCCCAGCUUCGAGUUCGCGUUCAAUUCAGAGAGCUUCUCCGACCGGGUGCUGCGGCUGGAGGUCGUCGCCAGCAACGGCGUCGCCAGCGACGGCGUCGCCAGAGGAUCCCUCCCCGACUUGGCGUUCCACCGCGAGGAGCUCCACAAGGAGGAUGCAGAUGGGCAAAGUAUUGACUCUUCCUGGACCAUGGUGGCCAUGCCAGUUUUACGAGUUAAGACCAUUUACAUCAGUUCGGUGGUUCUCGCUGCAAAUAGUCCAUUCUUUCUCAAGCUUUUCUCAAAUGGUAUGAAAGAGUCUGAUCAGAGAUAUCUAACACUCCGAAUUGCUGAUUCAGGAACAGAGGAAACUGUCAUGAUGGAGCUUUUGAGAUUUAUGUACACUGGAAAGUUGACAGCAACUGAACCCAAUCUUCUGCUCGACAUCUUGAUGGCCGCUGAUAAAUUUGAGGUUCUUGCUUGCAUGAAGCGUUGCAGCCAGUUGCUCACAAACUUGCCUAUGACCAGAGAGACUGCACUGCUCUACCUAGAUUACCCAUGCUCCAUUUCAGUGGCUGCUGAAAUUCGUCAUCUGACAGAUGCAGCGAAGGAAUUCCUCGCCAACAAAUACAAGGUUUUGGAUAAAUUUCCUCAUGAAUUGAUGGACAUGCCUCUUGUUGGGAUUGAAGCCAUCUUUUCUAGUUCUGACCUACAGAUAUCAUCUGAAGAUGCCGUAUAUACCUUCUUGGUCGAGUGGGUGUGCGAGCAAUACCUAGAAACAGAGGACAGGCACAAGAUAUGGAGUUCUCGUUUACUUCCGCUGUUGCGCUUCAAUCAUAUGAGCUGGAAAAAACUCCACGAGGUCCUGACAUGCAGUGAUGAUUGUGAUGAUGUAGACAAUGAGCAAACAAAGAAGCACAUUACCGAUGCACUCUUGCACAAAGCUUACCCCGCACACGAGCAAGGUGCACUUGCAGCAGACACAGCAACCUGUUGCCAAGUUCCACAACGAGCCUACAUGAGAAAACCCCUGAAAGUGGUUGAGUUCGAUCGACCCCGCCCACAGGUUAUUGUGUACUUGGAUCUAACGCGUGAAGAGUGCUCCCGACUCUUCCCUGAAGGAGAACUAUUCUCGCAAUUGUUCCAUCUUGCGGGGCAGAACUUGUAUAUCAUGCCAACCUGUGAAAUGGACGAGCAGAGUAAGCAAUACAGCUUUGGCCUCUGGUUAGGGAUCCAUGACAAGCCGGAGGGCUCGGCAUGCUUGACAUUCAAGUUUGAGUUUGCUGCACGGACAAAAUCGUCAGGAGAAUUUGUGCGCAAGUUGAAGGAUAAGGCUAUCUUCACAGGUGAUUGCAUGGAGGGAUGCGGUGAUCUUUUUGGCGUUCCAUGGUCGACAUUCAUGGCGGACGACAGCCUCUUCAUCGACGGCUUGCUGCAUUUGAGGGCUGCAUUGACGGUGGUGGAGCAGCCUGAAGUACAGGCUUGA